rnacentral:rRNA from 1 species
AUGGCAUUGCUUCGUGAUCUUUGGAUGCCCAAAAGUCAGUGCUAUAUCACAGGACCGAUUUGGCCAACUAUUGAGGCAGAGAACUUCGAGCUGAAACCUAGUCUUAUUGCUUUGGUUCAACAACAACAGUUUGGAGGACUGCCUACUGAGGAUCCCUAUGAGCACUUACACCGAGUCAUGGAGUAUUCAGAUACAUCUGUGAUUCGAGAUGAGAUCUUCAAUUUCAUUCAGCGUGAAUACGAGAGCUUGUAUGAUGCUUGGGAGAGAUACAAGGUUUUAUUCAGGAGAUGUCCUAACCACGGGCUCGAGAGAUGGUUAGAGUUGCAGAUAUUCUAUAGAGGAUUGACUUCGGACACUCGAGCUUACAUCGAUAUGGCAGCGGGUGGAGCUAUUACAAACAAGACACUUGAUGAUGCUUUUCUGCUGAUUGAGAGUAUAGCCUUCCACCAACUUCAGUGGUACAAUGAGAAGCCCAUCUCUGAUUCAGUUGCUUGUUUGCAACAAAUCACUUCAUCUCAGCAAGAAUCUCUUACACAAAAGUCGGAACCAGUUUCUCCGUGUAACAAGAUUGAGCUUUCAUGGAUUAUCUUUGAUGAUGAUGAUGACACCAUCCUAGUUGACACACACACUUCAGAUCAUAUGGAUACUAGUGUUGGAGAUUUAGUUUUGCAUUGUGAUGAUUCUUCCAUGGAUGAGCCAGAGCUGCAGUUAGUUGUUUUUUAUAUUGAGGAGUCACCUUUAGUUGAUAUUGAUCAUGUGCUGCUAGAGCCAGAUAUGGAGAAGUUCACCUUUGAUGACAUUAGCCACAUUGAUUCCUCAACACUUGAGCCUGAGAUGGAAACCUGCAUUGUUGAUUAUGAUGAGGUUGAUCUAGAUGUCAAGAAGCCAAACUCUAAUAUUUCACUUGUUGACACGAGUCUGGUGGAAGUUUCUACUACCAUGCCUUCCAUAGUAUCUUCAACUAAGAGGGCAUUGUCCCUAUCACUUGUUUUGGCUUGUUUGUUGAGUGUUCUUUCAGGUUUACGCUUGUGCACCAUUCAUUGCGGGCUGACCAAGUUCGAGAUGACAUCCCAUGGGAUCCUGGUGGAUUCACGGCAUGGUGAUGAGGAGAAGCAAUGUGCACACAUGAGGAAGAGUGAAGCUGGAGCAUGUAUGAGGAAGCAAAAGGAGAGGAGCUGCAGUUGGUGA